rnacentral:rRNA from 1 species
UGCGGCGGAUUAGCUAGUUGGUGGGGUAACGGCCUACCAAGGCGAUGAUCCGUAGGGGGCGUGAGAGCGUGGCCCCCCACACGGGAACUGAGACACGGGCCAGACUCCUACGGGAGGCAGCAGUGAGGAAUAUUGCACAAUGGGCGCAAGCCUGAUGCAGCAACGCCGCGUGAGGGACGAAGGCCUUCGGGUUGUAAACCUCUUUUCUGAGGGACGAGGAAGGACGGUACCUCAGGAAUAAGUCUCGGCUAACUACGUGCCAGCAGCCGCGGUAAAACGUAGGAGGCGAGCGUUAUCCGGAUUUACUGGGCGUAAAGCGCGCGCAGGUGGCUUCGUGAGUCGGACAUGAAAGCUCCUGGCUUAACUGGGAGAGGCUGUUCGAUACUGCGGGGCUUGAGGUUGGGAGAGGGACGCGGAAUUCCCGGUGUAGUGGUGGAAUGCGUAGAUAUCGGGAGGAACACCAGUGGCGCAAGCGGCGUCCUGGCCCACACCUGACGCUGAGGUGCGAAAGCGUGGGUAGCAAACAGGAUUAGAUACCCUGGUAGUCCACGCUGUAAACGAUGUCAACUGGGUGUCGGUAGUUUUACACUAUCGGUGCCGAAGCUAACGCG